UUGGAGGUAGUGACAAUAAAUCACAAUGCGGAACAAUGUUUUGCAAUUGGAUUGAGAACAACGUACAAACCUUAUCGAUAAACAAUUGGAGGGCAAGUCUGGUGCCAGCAGCCGCGGUAAUUCCAGCUCCAAUAGCGUAUAUUAACGUUGUUGCAGUUAAAAAGCUCGUAGUUGAAAUGAAGGGUAGUUGUGUAAUGAAUACAUUCGUGUAUUUUGUUAUUCUACUACCCUCCUUCUAAAUUCGAUAUAUGAGUAUUAAUUUACUUGUAUAUGGUUUUAGACGUUUACUGUGAGAAAAUUAGAGUGUUCAAAGCAGGCAUUUGCUUGAAUAUAUUAGCAUGGAAUAAUCAUGUAUGAUUUUCAUGAUGUAUCUGAUUGGUGCGGCUCAUGAGACUAAGCAUAAAAGGGACAGUUGGGGGUAUUCAUAUUCAAUAGUCAGAGGUGAAAUUCUCGGAUUUAUGGAAGAUGAACAAGUGCGAAAGCAA
rnacentral:rRNA from 1 species